GGAAGGGUGGCCGAGCGGCUGAAGGCGCACGCUUGGAAAGCGUGUAUACCGAAAGGUAUCGUGGGUUCAAAUCCCACCCCUUCCG
rnacentral:tRNA from 1 species